GCUGGGCGUGGUGGCGCGUGCCUGUAAUCCCAGCUAUUUGGGAGGCUAAGGCUGGAGGAUCUCUUGAGUCCAGGAGUUCUGGGCUGAUAGUGCACUGUGUCGAUCGGGUGUCCACACUAAGUUCAGCAUCAAUAUGGUGACCUCCCGGGAGCAGGGGACCACCAGGUUGCCUAAGGAGGGGUGAACCAGCCCAGGUCGGAAACGGAGCAGGUCAAAACUCCCGUGCUGAUCAGUAGUGGGAUCGCGCCUGUGAAUAGCCACUGCACUCCAGCCUGGGCAACAUAGCAAGACCCUGUCUCU
rnacentral:SRP_RNA from 1 species